UACGGGGGGGGCAAGCGUUGUUCGGAAUUACUGGGCGUAAAGGGCGCGUAGGCGGUUGGAUAAGUCUGAUGUGAAAGCCCACGGCUCAACCGUGGAGGGUCAUUGGAAACUGGAGGACUUGAGUACAGAAGAGGAAAGCGGAAUUCCACGUGUAGCGGUGAAAUGCGUAGAGAUGUGGAGGAACACCAGUGGCGAAGGCGGCUUUCUGGUCUGUAACUGACGCUGAGGCGCGAAAGCGUGGGGAGCAAACAGG
rnacentral:rRNA from 1 species